rnacentral:rRNA from 1 species
GUCUUCUUGUUAUAUUUAGGAAGUCUGGCCUGCCCAGUGAAAAUAUUUUAACGGCCGCGGUAUACUGACCGUGCAAAGGUAGCAUAAUCAUUAGUCUUUUAAUAGAGGGCUGGUAUGAAGGGUUUAACGAGGUGUUGACUGUCUCAUUUAAUUUGAAUUUAGAAUUUAAUUUUUUAGUUAAAAAGCUAAAAUAUUAUUGGAAGACGAGAAGACCCUAUAGAGCUUUAUAUUUUUAUUAUUAAUUUAUUAUAGUUUAUUAUCAUUUAUUAUUAAUAGAAAAUAUUUUGUUGGGGUGACAAAAAUAUAUAAAUAACUUUUUUAUUUUAACUACAUUGAUAUAUGAAUAUCAGAUCCAAUCUUAUUGAUUGUUAGAUUAAGUUACCUUAGGGAUAACAGCGUAAUCCCUCUCCAGAGUUCAUAUUUACAGAGGGGCUUGCGA